UCUGGGGGCAGGGCGGGGUGGCUCACACCUGUAAUACCAACUACUCGGGAGGCAGAGGUGGGAGGAUCACGUGAGCCCAGGAGUUGGAGACCACCCUGGGCAACAGAGCGAGACCCAGACACUACAAAAAAAUAUAAAAAUUAGCUGGGCGAUUGUAGUCCCAAGUACUCGGCAAGCUGAGGCGGGAGGGUUUGAGCCCAAGAGGUCGAGGCUGCAUUGAGCCCAGAUGGCGCCACUGCACACCAGCCUGGGAGACAAAGCAAGACCCUGUCUCAAAAAGAAAAAGAAAAACAAAAACCAGUAUGGGAUGUUCCUGUUAGGCAACUAAGGGUGAAAAAUCAGAGCACGACGCAUAGCUUCUCACAGAUUCUGGUGUGCGUGCCACACCAGAGAAUAAGGAACUCCAUAGCCUGAAAGGGAACUGAAUAAAAAUAAACAUAAAAGAGAAUAAGAAA
rnacentral:lncRNA from 1 species